UAUGCCUUAUUUUAAUGUUUUAUUUUGACAGAGAGAGAGAGACUUCCGCUAAGGCUCUACCACGUGACUGUGUUUCACCAAUCAAACGUAGUUGUGCAGUCUCGUCACUUUACCAUACUCAAUCUCAGUGGCGGGACGGGUUGGCUUUACAGUCAUAGCAACACAGAAAUGUCAGAAUUAGCCGUCGGCAAUGCAGACACAGACGAGGAGGAACACCCGCACCCCUGGCCUCAUAUUGAAAGCAUGUUUACCUUAGUAAAAGUGCGAAAGAACAGCUACAUUAUGCGGUGUCUUCUGUGUCUACCAAAACAAACAGACAUUUCAGCAUUCAAGAACUCAACAUCUAACUUGAGGAAACAUGUAGCGAGGAUUCACCCCAACAAACUGGCAAAGUACACAGACUUACUAGAGAACCACAGAAAGCGUUCAAUCCAGCUGAAAAUGGGUUUUUGGUCGAGUAUGCUGCUGU